rnacentral:rRNA from 1 species
AGUGAACGCUGGCGGUAGGCCUAAUACAUGCAAGUCGAACGGCAGCACAGUAAGAUUUCGCCCCUACGGGUGGCGAGUGGCGGACGGGUGAGGAAUACAUCGGAAUCUACUUUUUCGGGGGGGACAACGGAGGGAAACAGACGAUAAUAGCGCAUAUGACCUACGGGUGAAAGCAGGGGUUCUUCGCACUUUUCCUGAUUGAAUGAGCCGGCGCCGGAUUAGCUAGUUGGCAAGGUAAAGGCACACCAAGGCGACGAUCCGUAGCUGGUCUGAGAGGAUGAUCAGCCACACUGGAACUGAGACACGGUCCAGACUCCUACGGGAGGCAGCAGUAGGGAAUAUUGGGCAAUGGGCGCAAGCCUGAUCCAGCCAUGCCGCGUGAGUGAUGAAGGCCUUCGGAUCGUAAAGCUCUUUUAUUGGGGAAGAAAAACUGCAGAAUUAACCCCGGCUGUUCUGACGGUACCCAAAGAGAAAGCCCCGGCUAACUUCGUG